GUAGGUGAACCUGCGGAAGGAUCAUUACCUUUCAAUGCAGCAGAAUGGGGAUGGUUGAGUUUCUCGCCUCUCUGUUCUGCCUGUAUUCUACCCUUGUUUGUCAUAUACUAUUAUCUCCUCGGCAGGCUAGCUUGCCGAGUGAAACCAAUUAUAACCUAUUUAAUUUUCAAUCAGCGUCUGAACAAAAUUAAUAAUUACAACUUUCAACAACGGAUCUCUUGGUUCCG
rnacentral:misc_RNA from 1 species